rnacentral:misc_RNA from 1 species
AGUCGUAACAAGGUUUCCGUAGGUGAACCUGCGGAAGGAUCAUUUUCGAACAAAAAACUUAUAUCCACCCACUGUGUGAAUCGUUUUGGGUUUUACCUUUACUCUUGUUUUUUGUCAUUUUGAACUCCCCCUAACAAAGGGAUACGAAAUGGCAAGCCAAGAGGCCAUUAUGAACUACCUUGUCACAAAGGUCGAUUAUUUACUUUUUUUCUUAAAACAAAAAAAACAAUAUAUGACAACUUUUAACGGUGGAUCUCUUGGCUCGU